CCUACGGGUGGCAGCAGUGAGGAAUAUUGCACAAUGGGGGGGACCCUGAUGCAGCGACGCCGCGUGAGUGAAGAAGUUUUUCUGUACGGAAAGCUCUAUCAGCCGGGAAGAAAAUGACGGUACCUGACUAAGAAGCCCCGGCUAACUACGUGCCAGCAGCCGCGGUAAUACGGAGGGGGGAAGCGUUAACCGGAUUUACUGGGUGUAAAGGGAGCGUAGACGGGAGUGCAAGUCUGGAGUGAAAUUCCAUGGCUUAACCAUGGAACUGCUGUGGAAACUGUGCAGCUAGAGUGCAGGAGAGGUAAGCGGAAUGCCUGGUGUAGCGGUGAAAUGCGUAGAUAUUAGGAGGAACACCAGUGGCGAAGGCGGCUUACUGGCCUGUAACUGACGUUGAGGCUCGAAAGCGUGGGGAGCAAACAGGAUUAGAUACCCUAGUAGUC
rnacentral:rRNA from 1 species